rnacentral:rRNA from 1 species
CCAGACUCCUACGGGAGGCAGCAGUGAGGAAUAUUGGUCAAUGGCCGGGAGGCUGAACCAGCCAAGUCGCGUGAGGGAAGACGGCCCUACGGGUUGUAAACCUCUUUUGUCAGGGAGCAAGGUGCAGGUCGGGACCUGCUGUGAGAGUACCUGAAGAAAAAGCAUCGGCUAACUCCGUGCCAGCAGCCGCGGUAAUACGGAGGAUGCGAGCGUUAUCCGGAUUUAUUGGGUUUAAAGGGUGCGUAGGCGGGCUGUUAAGUCAGCGGUCAAAUGUCGGGGCUCAACCCCGGCCUGCCGUUGAAACUGGCGGCCUCGAGUGGGCGAGAAGUAUGCGGAAUGCGUGGUGUAGCGGUGAAAUGCAUAGAUAUCACGCAGAACUCCGAUUGCGAAGGCAGCAUACCGGCGCCCUACUGACGCUGAGGCACGAAAGCGUGGGUAUCGAACAGGAUUAGAUACCCUUGUA